CCUACGGGGGGCAGCAGUGAGGAAUAUUGGUCAAUGGGCGCGAGCCUGAACCAGCCAAGCAGCGUGAAGGAUGAAUGCCCUACGGGUUGUAAACAUCUUUUAUAAGGGAAUAAAGUGAGGCACGAGUGCCUUUUUGUAUGUACUUUAUGAAUAAGGAUCGGCUAACUCCGUGCCAGCAGCCGCGGUAAUACGGAGGAUCCGAGCGUUAUCCGGAUUUAUUGGGGUUCAAGGGAGCGUAGAUGGGUUGUUAAGUCAGUUGUGAAAGCUUGUGGCUCAACCGGACAAUUGCAGUUGAUACUGGCAGUCUUGAGUACAGUAGAGGUAGGCGGAAUUCGAGGUGUAGCGGUGAAAUGCUUAGAUAUCACGAAGAACUCCGAUUGCGAAGGCAGCUUACUGGACGGACACUGACAUUGAUGCUCGAAAGCGUGGGUAUCAAACAGGAUUAGAUACCCCGGUAGUC
rnacentral:rRNA from 1 species